GGAAGCCNAACCAUGCAAGUCGAGGGGUAUAGGUUUUCGGACCUAGAGACCGGCGCACGGGUGCGUAACGCGUAUGCAAUCUACCUUUCACAGAGGGAUAGCCCAGAGAAAUUUGGAUUAAUACCUCAUAGUAUUAUGAAGUGGCAUCAUUUUAUAAUUAAAGUUCCAACGGUGAAAGAUGAGCAUGCGUCCCAUUAGCUAGAUGGUAAGGUAACGGCUUACCAUGGCCACGAUGGGUAGGGGUCCUGAGAGGGAGAUCCCCCACACUGGUACUGAGACACGGACCAGACUCCUACGGGAGGCAGCAGUGAGGAAUAUUGGUCAAUGGACGCAAGUCUGAACCAGCCAUGCCGCGUGCAGGAUGACGGUCCUAUGGAUUGUAAACUGCUUUUGUACGAGAAGAAACACUCCUUCGUGAAGGAGCUUGACGGUAUCGUAAGAAUAAGGAUCGGCUAACUCCGUGCCAGCAGCCGCGGUAAUACGGAGGAUCCAAGCGUUAUCCGGAAUCAUUGGGUUUAAAGGGUCCGUAGGCGGUUUAGUAAGUCAGUGGUGAAAGCCCAUCGCUCAACGGUGGAACGGCCAUUGAUACUGCUAGACUUGAAUAAUUAGGAAGUAACUAGAAUAUGUAGUGUAGCGGUGAAAUGCUUAGAGAUUACAUGGAAUACCAAUUGCGAAGGCAGGUUACUACUAAUUGAUUGACGCUGAUGGACGAAAGCGUGGGGAGCGAACAGGAUUA
rnacentral:rRNA from 1 species